rnacentral:rRNA from 1 species
UACUAUAGCUUGACACUGAACAUUGAGCCUUGAUGUGUAGGAUAGGUGGGAGGCUUUGAAGCGUGGACGCCAGUCUGCGUGGAGCCGACCUUGAAAUACCACCCUUUAAUGUUUGAUGUUCUAACGUAGACCCGUAAUCCGGGUUGCGGACAGUGUCUGGUGGGUAGUUUGACUGGGGCGGUCUCCUCCUAAAGAGUAACGGAGGAGCACGAAGGUUGGCUAAUCCUGGUCGGACAUCAGGAGGUUAGUGCAAUG